GACGUAGGGGGCCAGCGUUGUUCGGAAUUACUGGGUGUAAAGGGUUCGUAGGCGGUGCGGCAAGUUGGGAGUGAAAUCUCUGGGCUUAACCCAGAGGCUGCUUCCAAAACUGCUGUGCUUGAGUGUGGGAGAGGCGAGUGGAAUUCCUGGUGUAGCGGUGAAAUGCGCAGAUAUCAGGAGGAACACCGAUUGCGAAGGCAGCUCGCUGGGACGUCACUGACGCUGAGACGCGAAAGCGUGGGGAGCAAACAGG
rnacentral:rRNA from 1 species